GGAAGUAGAGAGAAUAUGGAAGCUACAAAUAAGCACCACAUAAUGGAUGACCAAACGAGGAAUACUGGUGUUUUUAGGUAGUAAGAAAAUUGCAACAUAAAAUAAGAAAUGGAUGGAAGGACAAUAAGAUUCCAGCCUACUUACAGUAUCGGGAUUUUGAAGUCUGUGGCUUUGAUCUGGUUGAAGACUUUCCGAUAGUUGCUGAAGUUGUUAUUGGAUGACAGGAGGUCAGUAAACUCCAACAGCGUCUGCAACAGAAAGACUAGUCACAUCAUCUUGCAAUCACCACUCACAGAAUCAACACAGGAUUGGACAGCAGGCAUGCUUUCUAUGCCAUACAACACUGUACAUGAAGAUAUCAGACAAAUUAUACAGGCUGUUACAAAAAGUGUGUCAGUUGUGUCAUCCUGA